GUGCCAGCAGCCGCGGUAAUACGUAGGGCGCAAGCGUUAUCCGGAAUUAUUGGGCGUAAAGAGCUCGUAGGCGGUUUGUCGCGUCUGCCGUGAAAGUCCGGGGCUUAACCCCGGAUCUGCGGUGGGUACGGGCAGACUAGAGUGCAGUAGGGGAGACUGGAAUUCCUGGUGUAGCGGUGAAAUGCGCAGAUAUCAGGAGGAACACCGAUGGCGAAGGCAGGUCUCUGGGCUGUAACUGACGCUGAGGAGCGAAAGCAUGGGGAGCGAACAGGAUUAGAUACCCUGGUAGUCCAUGCCGUAAACGUUGGGCACUAGGUGUGGGGGACAUUCCACGUUUUCCGCGCCGUAGCUAACGCAUUAAGUGCCCCGCCUGGGGAGUACGGCCGCAAGGCUAAAACUCAAAGGAAUUGACGGGGGCCCGCACAAGCGGCGGAGCAUGCGGAUUAAUUCGAUGCAACGCGAAGAACCUUACCAAGGCUUGACAUGAACCGGGAAUGAUGCAGAGAUGUGUCAGCCACUUGUGGCCGGGUUUACAGGUGGUGCAUGGUUGUCGUCAGCUCGUGUCGUGAGAUGUUGGGUUAAGUCCCGCAACGAGCGCAACCCUCGUUCCAUGUUGCCAGCGGGUUAUGCCGGGGACUCAUGGGAGACUGCCGGGUCAACUCGGAGGAAGGUGGGACGACGUCAAUCAUCAUGCCCUUAUGUCUUGGCUUCACGCAUGCUACAUGCGUACAAGGUUGCGAUACUGUGAGGUGAAGCUAUUCCAAAAGCGUCUCAGUUCGAAUGAGUCUGCACUCGACUCGUGAGUGAGUCGCUAGUAUCGAGAUCAGCACGUCGUGAUACGUUCCGGACUGUACACGGCGUCAGGCGAAUCGGUUAACUUGCAGACAUAGU
rnacentral:rRNA from 1 species